rnacentral:SRP_RNA from 2 species
GCCAGGCAUGGUGGCGCAUGCCUAUAGUCCCAGCUACUUGGGAGGCUGAGGCAGGAGAAUUGCUUGAACCUGGGAGGCGGAGGUUGCAGUGAGCCAAGAUCGCACCACUGCACUCCAGCCUGGGUGAUAGAGCAAGACUCUGUCUCAA